AGAGCUGAGAGGACCAGCCAUUUUACUUAUGGAAAACAGUGUGGCAUAUUCUGCUGAGCUUCUCCCUGGAAGAAGCCUCUUUUAUACAUCUCUUCAGGGAAGAGAGAAGCAAUGGGCAUGUUAGUCUACAAUGAUCACAGCCACGCAGGCCUGCAAGCUGCCUUUUGGACAGGCUGUUGACUGCUGUUCCAAUUAGCUGAUUGGAGAAUGUGGAAUGCAGAGUGAUAAUGCUGCAUAUCUGCUAUCAGGCAGCAGCAAAGGUUUUUGUCUUGGGAAGGCAAGCUUUCCCUGCAAUAUUAUCUCAGCAGCUCCCUAGCUGCUUACCCUGAAAACGAGGGAUCCAAACGGAGGGUGUUGCCCUCUGCUAACGCUGGUCCUGUGCGUGGCUGUGGCAUGUGAGCGGCAGGUCUGAAAAAGCAGGUGUGUGCUGGGACGGGCACUGGACUGGAACGCAGGCGGACGCUCUCGGGUUUACCUGCUUCCUGUUAACAGAUUGUGGGCUCCCAGGGCAUAUGUCUGCACGCUGAGGCCGAGGCGGAGAAGGGGCUUCCUGAGCGUCCCAGUACACUGACAGAGACACUUGGAUUGGACUUAAUCUUAAACCUCUGGAGUUCAAGACCUUUUAAAAAGGGCUAAAUAAACAAUCUCUACAUGUAAAAGGCCACUGACUCCUGCUUCCUCUGUAUAGAGCAACUGUUGAACUCAGCUGCCUGUAAGUAAGAUUUUUUGUUCCAGAAUUAUUUGUUUUCUGAUAUGUUCAUAACUAAUGUCUUUAAAAUAACUUACUUAUAGUGAAAAUAAUAAGGGGAGUUGUGAACAAUUCCCAGGUAAACACUGUGUUCCAGAAUACAGCAGGAGCAUCUGGGCAUUUUUGUGGCUGUAAAUUUUAAACUUUGCUUAAAGCUCUCAUAAUAGUGACCUGCAGUACAGACUUGACUAUGACUAAGCCAUGGAUCAGAGGUCUAAUUAAGCCUGAUUGCCAGAGCAAUGAGAGGGUGUUUCAGACAUCAUACUUCUGUUGUUUAGACUGCUUUAUUUUUAACUUACCAGGGGCAUUUAAAAAAAAAAAAAAGCGGAAAAAGAUGCAACCAUCCACCUGAGUAAAGAGAAUACAUAUAAGUAAUUGUUCUUUAAGGGCAAUGAGCGAGCCGUAUUGUAUAAUGUUCUCCUUUCAUCACCGUUUCGUUCAUUGCUCAUGUGGAAUUAGAGUGGUUGAUCUGGGGGAUCUGGGGGUUUUGUUUUUGUUAUUGUUGUUUUGUAUGUUCCUGGCACAUUUUAGGGGACAGUUUUGAGGAUUCCUUACUAAGCUGACUAUCUUUUGCUGGGUACAUCUGCUGGCAGGUUUCUCUAAUGUGACAAUGUGAUACUUCGGGUCAGUUUCAGUGGCUCCCCUCUCCCCCUUGUUACGCUUGUACUUGACAUUUUGCGAAGUACUUUGAUCUGUGGACUUUAACUUCAAACGCAGCAUUUACUUUGAUUGUGGCUAUUUACUAUGUUCAGUAAAAAGUCUCCUUUUUUUUCCUUUUGGUUUAAUGCUUUGAUAGCAUUUCCUUUAAACAAUUUAUUGGAGCUUUAGUUUUCCUCACUGAUCUGUCUUAGAUUUUACUUCUAGAGGGACCCCCAAUUAUAAGAAAAGUGUUCUCUGGUAAAGUUCUCCCCAACACAGACUUCAUGACAGUUCAUGACCCCUGUCUGGCAGAUGUGUAAGAGCACGCAGCAAAUGACAGUGCACAGAGCCCCGCGCUGGCUACCCUGCUGCCUCAGAAUCUCUGUGUGCCUUGGGGCCCAACUGGUGCUUUUUAAAAACAUGGAUGCUGAAAUCUUUGGAGUUCAGAGAUACUUUUUUUUCAGAAAAGUUUAUUGGUAUCACAGACCACACAUCAAAGGAAAGCAUGCAUUUUAACUACCUAAUGAUUGUCUGAGUAACAAAAACAGGAAGAAAUAACAAAGAAAGAAAAAGAAAAUUAAAAUCAAAAGAAAACCAGAAAAAAAAAAAACCCUUAGUAGCCAGAAGUCUGUUUUACGAGUGAAACUUCUGCUGUGUAAGGAAUAAGGGAUUUCUUAAAAAUGUAUUUCCUAAAAUGGGCAAAACGUAGCACUUACUAGCCAUUCAGUCAACUUUGGAAUAUUCUCUUCAUUGUAAAGAAAGCACAAGUGUGUGUGACAUUUGUUCCCUUUUUCUUUCCCACCCCAAGCGCAAGGUAUUUUCACAGUCCUCAGCCAAAUACAGAGUUUGACGUUCCCUGGUGAACGGUCCCUGCGUGUUCUGUUGAAGGUUAGGAAUAGAAUGAGCCUAAUCCUGUCAGGAGACUGUUUAAGUCCCAGUCAAGGACACUAGCUCCUCAGCGCUGACGCAGUCUGCCCCCUGUCCUCUGCACCUUGCUAAGAAGGACAGACGCAAGUGGCCACAGGACAAGUCUCCAAAGGGGCGGAGCUGUGGAGAAAGCUACGGCAGAGAUCUCCCUGGAUUAGGAGCAGAUGCAAUCGAAUCUCCAGAAUUUGGAUUUAUAGCAGAAAAACCUAGAGAUGUUCAGUCUAAUCUUUAAAUUUCCCAAACCUGGGCAUUUCAUUGCCACUUUUCCCCUUCAAAUCUACAUUAUAAGAAGCAUGUUAAUCAUCGCAUUUAUGUGUAUGGUUAACAUUUUAAAUCCUCCGGUUAUUUUGAGCCUGGGCUUUGAGGGGGGCCGGGGGGGUGCGUCUAGCUAGAAUACUCGCUCCCCCUUAGUACUGGGAAGCCUUGGUCCGCAGGGCUGAGUGCAUAUGUAUUGCUGGAGGUGAGAGUCCAGCAGCAAAAUUAAAUGGCACCAGGAUGAAAUCUUUUUGAUGAAUGGUAGGUGAUCAUUCCAUUCCCAGGCAAGCCAUUUUUCCCCUGUUUUGUUUUGUUUUUUCUUUCUGUUUCUCUUCACCCCUUAAUUUUAUGUUGAAACUUCGGAUAGUUUGAAUGUGAAACUUCAGGUGAAAUCUAGCCCAAGCCACCGAGUUUCACCCAGCUUCCGCAUGAAAGAAGUGUUCUACCCAGCCUUGCACGAAACUUGGCCUGUGUUGCCAAAAGUUUCAUGAAUGUCAGUGAGCCUGGAUUUGAAACAUAACCCAAGGCCAGGUGACUUCUGGUGACUUUGAGGCUUUAUUGUAUUAGUAUAGAAUCUGCUGAACAGGGACAGUCCCAUUUCCGCAUCUUCUACUGUAGUUUCAUGAGGGCACACGUUUUCCCCCAGUAAACUCCCAUUUAUCUCAUGAUGUUUGAAAGCCAGGUUCAAUCCCAAUAUGAAUGUUUGUAGCCGUGGGAUCGAAGCACUGGCAGAUAGAGGUCUGCGCUUUAAACUCCAGCAGCCUGAGCUGCAGUGGUGUGAACGUGUUGCUAUAAUUCAGCUAAAGGAAGGAAGUCCCGGGAGAACCAUGGAAUGCCUUUCUUUGCUUCAAUAUACCUCUGUGCUCGUGAGGAACAAACAGUAACAUUUUGUCCAGGUCUAUCCGCUUGACAGUAUGCCUUUUGUUCCCUCUCCAAAGGUGGUGUUAAAUAUAUGGGUGGAAAAAAAAUAAACUUCCAGAUAUUUUUUUUUCCGCCUGCUCAACUGAUAUACUCCAAGGGAACAUUGCAAGCAUUGAGAAGUUCAGUGCUGUGGCUGGGAAUGUAAGGUAUACUGAGAAUAAAGGAGCCCUCAGUGAAGGCAGCAUCCCUGAGAAAAGCAUGGCAACCUAGAGUCGAUGUGGGUGUGAACGGUCAGAUGGGUCCUGGUUGGGAAGGGGUGUGUGUGUGUGUUUUCUGGGUGGGGGUAGUAGCGAGCAGAGAGGAAAAGGAGUAUUUGUAAGCUUUGUUCAGCAAAUCUGUCAUAUCGAAAACAAAAAUAAUCAAGCGCAGGAUCUGAAAACAUUCUUUUCUUUUGUAGAUCAUAUAAAUUUGUGUUGGCUGAAUAUUGAAUUUUUUUUGUAUUAUUUUUCUUAUUAGAGACACCAAGCGUUAGGAUUCCAGGCAUAGUAAAUAAUCUCCAAUGAAAAUAUGACCCAUUGGGAGACAUAAAAUCGUUGCAGAUAACUCCCAUGAGUCAGUCUCAGGAAGGUCCUCGUGGUUCUCUGGCAGUUAUGAAAUGUUAAGCCACCCAGGACACUAAGAUCUGACUUGUCCUUUUCUUAGUUGGGGGAUUUCUAAACUCAUGUGAAGAAUUUUCAUAGAAAUGAAUGUAUGGCCUCACUAAAGAUUUAGGCUAUCUUUGGUGAGAUACAUAGAUAUAGAUUUAUUAUAAAAUUAAAUUGCCAUCAAAUUUCAUUUUAAAAUUUCAUAGUCACUUAUAUAAAUAGACUUUCAUUAAAGAUGUGGUUUGCAUUUUAGCAGGUGACAUGCAGUGGAUGCCCUAGUAGAGAAAGCCUUGGAAAAGCUAGCAAUAACACAAUUUGGAAGUGCCAUAUAUAGAAGCUGCUUUUUAGCACUGGCUUCACUAGUCAUAGUGUAGCAUUUAUCAGCAUAUAUGAUUUUGAUAGCCCCAGACUGGUACAAUGAGCAGAGGAAAGGAAGAUGUUCAAAUGGAGGUUCUAGAGAAAAUCAUUCAGAACCAUCCCACAAGGAAGUUCUCACUAACCAUAUCAAGGUAUAAGGAGUUCAGUAGUUUUAAGACAUUCAUCAUCCUUAACAAAACAGAAAAAGGGGAAGGAUAGGCUGGGCAUGGUGGCUCAUGCCUAUAACCCCAUCACAUUGGGAGGCCAAGGCAGGUGGAUCACUUGAGGUCAGGAGUUCAAGACCAGCCUGACCAACAUGGUGAAACCCCAUCUCAACUAAAAAAAAAAAAAAAUGCAAAAUUAGCCAGGCAUGGUGGUGCACAUCUAUAAUCCCAGCUACUUGGGAGGCUGAAGUGGGAGAAUCGCUUGAACCUGGGAGGGGGAGGGUGCAGUGAGCCAAGAUCGCACAAUUGCACUCCAGCCUGGGCAACAAGAGUGAAACUCUAUCUCAAAAAAAAAAAAAAAAGAAAAAAAAGAAAAAAA
rnacentral:sRNA from 1 species